rnacentral:rRNA from 1 species
UACGGAGGGUGCAAACGUUGCUCGGAAUCAUUGGGCGUAAAGCGCACGUAGGCGGCUCAGCAAGUCGGGUGUGAAAGCCCUCGGCUCAACCGAGGAAGUGCAUUCGAAACUACUGAGCUUGAAUACUGGAGAGGAUCGCGGAAUUCCCGGUGUAGAGGUGAAAUUCGUAGAUAUCAGGAGGAACACCGGCGGCGAAGGCGGCUUCCUGGCCCAAUACUGACGUUCAGGUACGAAAGCGUGGGUAGCAAACAGG